GCAUAGAAAAAGACAAUGUGAGGAUACAUCAAGAAGGUGGUUAUCGUCUCUCAUAGUGUCCCGUGCCAGAGCAAACCGUAGCCCUGAAUCAUUGCCUGGCCUCUGCCUUAGGCUGCUGGCAAUGAAGAGGGUUGCACAGUG
ensembl:snoRNA